rnacentral:rRNA from 1 species
AGCGAACGCUGGCGGCGUGCUUAACACAUGCAAGUCGAACGGUGACUCACCUUCGGGUGCUGAUCAGUGGCGAACGGGUGAGUAACACGUGGGCAACCUGCCCCUGACUCCGGGACAACUCCCCCCAAGAGGUGCUAAUACCGGAUACUACCCUCCUUGGCAUCUGGGUGGGCUGAAAGAACUUCGGUCAGGGAUGGGCCCGCGGCCGAACAGCUAGUUGGUGGGGUAGUGGCCCACCAAGGCGACGACGGGUAGCCGGCCUGAGAGGGCGACCGGCCACACUGGGACUGAGACACGGCCCAGACUCCUACGGGAGGCAGCAGUGGGGAAUAUUGGACAAUGGGGGCAACCCUGAUCCAGCAAUGCCGCGUGAGUGAUGAAGGCCUUCGGGUUGUAAAGCUCUUUCACCCGCGACGAUGAUGACGGUAGCGGGAGAAGAAGCCCCGGCUAACUUCGUGCCAGCCGCCGCUGUAAGAC